rnacentral:rRNA from 1 species
UACGGGGGGGGCAAGCGUUGUUCGGAAUUACUGGGCGUAAAGGGCGUGUAGGCGGCCAACUAAGUCCGACGUGAAAUCCCCAGGCUUAACCUGGGAACUGCGUCGGAUACUGGAUGGCUUGAAUCCGGGAGAGGGAUGCAGAAUUCCAGGUGUAGCGGUGAAAUGCGUAGAUAUCUGGAGGAAUACCGGUGGCGAAGGCGGCAUCCUGGACCGACAUUGACGCUGAGGAGCGAAAGCUAGGGGAGCAAACAGG